rnacentral:rRNA from 1 species
UACGUAGGGGGCGAGCGUUGUCCGGAGUUACUGGGCGUAAAGCGCACGCAGGCGGUCUGUUAAGUUUGGAGUGACAGUUGGUGGCUUAACUGCCAAAGUGCUUCGAAAACUGACAGACUUGAGGGCUUCAGAGGGACACGGAAUUCCGGGUGGAGUGGUGAAAUGCGUAGAGAUCCGGAGGAACACCAAAGGCGAAGGCAGUGUCCUGGAGAGUACCUGACGCUCAGGUGCGAAAGCCAGGGGAGCGAACGGG